rnacentral:tRNA from 2 species
UUAGCUCAGCUGGGAGAGCACCUCCCUUACAAGGAGGGGGUCACUGGUUCGAUCCCAGUA